UUGUACGCUGGCGGCAGGCCUAACACAUGCAAGUCGAGCGGAAACGAGUUAUCUGAACCUUCGGGGAACGAUAACGGCGUCGAGCGGCGGACGGGUGAGUAAUGCCUAGKAAAUUGCCCUGAUGUGSGGGAUAACCAUUGGAAACGAUGGCUAAUACCGCAUAACGCCUACGGGCCAAAGAGGGGGACCUUCGGGCCUCUCGCGUCAGGAUAUGCCUAGGUGGGAUUASCUAGUUGGUGAGGUAAGGGCUCACCAUGGCGACGAUCCCUAGCUGGUCCSAGAGGAUGAUCAGCCACACGGKAAGWGAGACACGGUCCAGACUCCUACGGGAGGCAGCAGUGGGGAAUAUUGCACAAUGGGCGCAAGCCUGAUGCAGCCAUGCCGCGUGUGUGAAGAAGGCCUUCGGGUUGUAAAGCACUUUCAGUCGUGAGGAAGGUAGUGUAGUUAAUAGCUGCAUUAUUUGACGUUAGCGACAGAAGAAGCACCGGCUAACUCCGUGCCAGCAGCCGCGGUAAUACGGAGGGUGCGAGCGUUAAUCGGAAUUACUGGGCGUAAAGCGCAUGCAGGUGGUUUGUUAAGUCAGAUGUGAAAGCCCGGGGCUCAACCUCGGAAUUGCAUUUGAAACUGGCAGACUAGAGUACUGUAGAGGGGGGUAGAAUUUCAGGUGUAGCGGUGAAAUGCGUAGAGAUCUGAAGGAAUACCGGUGGCGAAGGCGGCCCCCUGGACAGAUAC
rnacentral:rRNA from 1 species